rnacentral:tRNA from 1 species
GGUGGUACAGUGGUUAAGUACGUGGCUGCUAACUGAAAUGUUGGUGGUUCAAAUCCAUCCACCA